CCUACGGGAGGCAGCAGUGGGGAAUAUUGCACAAUGGGGGAAACUCUGAUGCAGCAACGCCGCGUGAAGGAAGACGGUUUUCGGAUUGUAAAGUUUUGUUUAUAGUGAAGAAUAAUGGCGGUAGCUAAGGAGCUAGCCACGGCUAACUACGUGCCAGCAGCCGCGGUUAUACGGAGGUGGCAAGCGUUGUCCGGAAUGACUGGGUUUAAAGGGAGCGAAGGCGGGAAGCGAAGUCAGCUGUGAAAGCUACGGGCUUAACUUGUAGACUGCAGUUGAAACUGGUUUUCUUGAGUGAAGUAGAGGUAGGCGGAAUUCGGGGUGUAGCGGUGAAAUGCGUAGAUAUACGGAAGAACACCGGUGGCGAAGGCGGCUUACUGGGCUGUAACUGACGCUGAGGCUCGAAAGUGUGGGGAGCAAACAGGAUUAGAUACCCGAGUAGUC
rnacentral:rRNA from 1 species